GGCCACGUGGUGAAGUGGAAACACGGCUGUCUGCAAAACAGCUACCGCACCAGUUCGAUUCUGGUCGUGGCCU
rnacentral:tRNA from 1 species